CCCAGUACAAGGAAUCGAUCUUGUCCCUCCACCUUGCCUCAAAUCCGUUCGAUAUCGUUUAGAAUCUGGGGAAUAUGCGAUUUUUCGGAUAAAGUUUUGGUUUUUGAAUUCAAAAUGGGCCAAGGGUGAUCCGGAUUUUUCAUCUUUCCUUCCAAAAAAGUUUGGAACCGUAAUUCCCCUCUGUAUAUACUCUUUACAUUUCCUUUGAGAAGGGCGAUUUUUUUCUUCACUUGGGAGAAUUGUUCCUGAGAAGAGAAUAUUCACACCAGUUUAAGAAAAAUAGGCAAGAAUAUAUAUAAAAAACACGUCUUAGUUCUAUUCGAGUCGUGUGGUGGAAGCCGUUCCAAGCUCGUUUGGCUGCCCCGGAGAAGAGCCCCUCAGGAUUUCUCACUUCCUCUUGCAUCCUUUUAAUGAGCCAUGAAGGUUCAAUUUUUUCCCACGAGUCAGCCACCUCCCUCAAAAUCGGCGGACAGGUUCAAAGCAGCGAUAUACUCCUAGAAGUUAAUUUUCCAGCCGAAAAGUCAAAAAAUAUAUUGAUAUACCAGUUGUAUACAAUGGUAUACAGUCGGAAUAUACAACAUUCAGGUCAUAAAUGUGCCAACACAGGGGGAAAACGCAGAAAAUCAAAAUCCUAAUAAAUUACAGGUUUGGGAGUCCAAAAAUCAACAGCAUACGUGAUGUACACAUCAAAUUUACAUUUGAUGUAUAUCAUGGCAAAUAGGGACAAAAGGGAUAAAAUGGCACAACAUAACAUCUUAUACAUUAAAUUAGCAAUAAAUAGCCUACUUUUGAUUUUUUAGCAAAAAACGACUUUUUUUUUUAUUUAUUUGGCAUUGAAUAGUUAUUUUUCUUUUUUUUUAAAAAAAUAUAUAUAUAUUUCUGUUCUCCUUAUUUUUCUCAAACACAUUUAACAUUUCUAUUUUACCUCCUUAAAUUUAUUUUGUCAACAAUUUUAAAAUAGAGUUUUUUUUGUCUAGUUUUUCUCUUUCGAGAAUCCUUUACAUAGUUCUAUACACAAUUCUCUUCGUAAUUUCAACUCUUCUACAUAAUUCAAUCUGUUUAUGAAAAUCAGAUUUAACAAUAUGUUUUUUUCAUGGAUACUUCUAAAAAUCAUCUUUAUAUUUAUUUUUUUUCUUGUCAAAUUAAUUGUUGAAUUUCAUGAUUUAUAGAAUUGAAUUUUUUUUCAAAUUUGUUUUUGUGAAUUAGAUUAUUCUACCUUUUUUUGUUUUCUUUCUAAAAUUUAUUUCAUAUGUAACUUUGCUUCUCUUCUAAAUUUUCUAUUAGUCUCCUAAAUUUACUAUGUCUAUGCAAAUCAGAUAUAACUGAAUGUUUAUUGAUUGAUCUUUCUAACAAUUUUUUUAGUAGAUAAUUAUGUAGCAUUUCUUGUCCCAUUAAUUUUGAAAUUUUGUCAUUUGUGAAAUUAAAGUUUUUAAAACUUUUUUUUGAUGAAAAUUCAGGUAAUAGUUUUUUGAAAUUUUUGUUCUAAAUUUCAUGGGUGAGAAAGAUCUUCGUAAAAGAGCAGAAUGAUAAUUUGAUGAAUACAACCCAAUGUACACUAAUGAAUUCUUAUCUCAAUUUAAAUUAAAGUACAUUAGUUUAUUAUAUGAGUACAAAUUACUGAAUACAAGAUGAACGAACUAAUGUAUAUAUAAUGCAGUUACCGUAUGCAUAAACAAAAUCAGAUGUACAAUUAAUGAUUAAACUUUACAACAUGUCAUAUUAAUCUCA